GCGGCUUUGAAGAAUACAGUGUAGCGGAAGCGAUUGCCUGCGAGGACUUAACUGGAAAUUGGGAAGUGGCAAGGCAUGAUGGACAGCUCGCCGUGGAGGAGGCGGGGCUUCGUUCCUAACCAGAGGGUCGCCCAUCCUACACCGAGGCCUAAGGUAGAAUGCCUCUGAAGUCAACACACCCCUGAAAUCGCUGAAAUGGCCUGCACAGGACGGAUGACACGGCUGUGUGCAGACUGUGCUCUCAUCUUACAAGCCCAGCACAGUCGGAUAUGUCCCUGUGUUGGAACGAAUCGCCAUUUCUUCGGUUGAAAGCAAGAUGCAGGAAUUGCGUGCAUCAGGGCCUAGCUGCCCAUGUUGGACGAGCCAGUUUGCCCUGAACAUCACCCGAGCACACCCUGCUCUCCUACGCCUCUGGGCUUCGGAACAAGACAAGCCACCCCUGGUCUGUUCUUGGAAAACACUGACUGCCUCAUCUUCAAGGUUCAGGAUGGACAUCGCCGCCCACGGAUGAGCAGCUGCGUCCUCGGGCUCCUGCAGUGCCCACUGUGACUUCUGUCAGGUACACCUCUCCCUCCAGGGCAUCUCUGGGGUGCCAGCUUCCUAACAACUCUUCCCAGGCCGCCCACGGGCCUGCCCUGUGCUGGGCUGAGGGAGCCCACACAGCACCAGCCCAGCCCGAGAAGUCUGGGAAGGCUUUCCGCAGCCUCUGUGCUGAGGGUAAGGGGUGAGCAGGGUUGGCCAGCCCAGUAAGGGUGAAAGGACAUUUCAGCCAAGGGAACAGCAUAUGCAAAGGGAGAGGAGGGCAGGGAAGCAGAGCAGGCGAGCAGGAGGAGGCGCUAAAGCGGAAGCAUAGAAUUCUGUCAGAUGAGGCUGGAGAAACAGGAUCUCGGACGCCAGGCUGCGAGCAAGAGAGGAGCAGAGCCAGCUCUGGGGUUCUCGGGGAUAGGCUGGAGGAGACCAAAUGGGAGGCUGGGGAGAGGGUCUGAGCUGGGGCUGGGACAGAAGGGCGGAGACAGGCCCAGAGAUUCAGGGAGCAGGGAGGAGGGGCUGGAAACUGACAGACUGGGGGGCAGGGCAAGGGACACUUCUGGGGGUCUGGCCAGUGACUGGGGGGACACCAGGGGCCAUCCAGAGAUGGAGAAGCUGGAGGAGGAGCGGGUGAGAGGGAGACGCCAUGCUCUGCCUGGCCCAGCCGGCCACUCCAGGCUGAGCGCGGAGCACUCAGGCUGAUGGUGGAGAGCUGCUUGUGGGACCCACAGAAGUGCAGGAGCUCUCCAGGGAGGAAGAAAGAGGCACAUGCACCCUGCAGCGAAAUCGGCCUCCCAGGGCCGGAUCUGGGCGCCCAUCCUGAGCUGGGAACUCAGGAGGAGACGGCAGCUUCGGGGAAGAUGGAUGCUGAGCUCAGUGGGGGCGCAGUGCAUGUGGGAAGGGCACCUCCGGGGAGCAGGUGGGGACAGGGGUUUGGAGACUGGGAGAGGGGCCUGCAGUGGAGACAGAGAUCGUAGAGUGACUGACGCACAGGAGGGAACAAGUGUGCAUGGGGAACAGGGGGCAGCUGGAGGGAGGCUGGGGAGGGCCCACAGUGAAGGGCUGGAUGCUCAGCCAGGGCAUGGGAAACCAUUUAUAGAUGCACUAAAUUCAUUAGUGAACUGGGUGGUUGUUUUUGGUGGGUUUUUUUUUGGUGAGGAAGAUUGGCCCUGAGCGCACAUCUGUUGCCAACGUUCCUCUUUUUUUUUUUUUCUUCCCAAAGCCCCAGUAUGUAGUGUUAUA